CCAACAUUUGCAAUGACGCUGUUCUGAAUGAGGAGCAUUGAUAUUGCUGUGUAACCACAUUAACCUUUGAAAUCCUACUAACGUUACUGCAAAUUACCGUUGUUGAUUGACUUCACUGAGCCCGCCCCCUCUCUCUCCACAGGACAACAGACGAGGGACCACAUCUUCACCUCCGGCCUGACACAUUAGAUGUUGCCAUGUCUGUGUGAACGUUCAGCUUCUCCUGCAGCAAUGGCCAGCCACAACACCAGUUUGUCCCACUGCUAGAAGCCGGGACAUCCCUGAGGACAGGAGACAUGUUGGGACAGAGGCGCGGGGACCACUGCACUGAGUUCUGUUACUAUAGCGACCUCUGCAGUAACCAUGGAGAUGGCGUGGAGGACAGGGUUGCCCAGCACUUUAGUCAUUGUUGUAGCACUUGCCAUACAGAUCGCCAGAGGUCACAGACAUGAGUUUGGUCAAUCACAAGCAGGAGAGUUUCCCCCGCAUCAAACAAAGUUGUCCAGUCCAGCAGCUGUUUACUCUUUGUGGUUUGUUAGCGCUGGGACCCAGUGAAGUGUUUUGUGGGAAACAACUCUGUGGGAAAGACUUGGGGAGGGUGGCACCAGUGGCUUCACUGCAGGCAUUAGUGACAUCCUAUGAAACAAUAUGUAACAUUUCAUUCAGAGUCCAUUCUUUGUUCACUGUUGACAAGAAAUGAGUUCAGAGUGCAUUGCCUUUUAAGUGUGAAGCUGUUCUUAUUCAUAACCCAUGACAAUGUGUGGUUGUUUAAGAUUAAAACUGAUCUUUUGCCUGUAUCAACACAAUGACUUAUAAUGACUUUUGUGGACUUAGAAUGGGUUAGUUUUGAAUUGCACACAUAUGGGAAAGCUGCUGCUUGUCAUACACAAAAAGGGCAUAAGCUUCAUAAACAAAUUCAAAUGAAUACGAGCUAUUGCUUUUGUUGUUUACUUCUGUGAUUUUCACUGUAUAUUGUGGUGAAUGGUCCAGGCCUCUAACUCUGUUUUAUAAAAAAUACUGAUCUGUUACAGUGCAAGGAAAGCAAUGCCCUGUUUGUGAACUUAGUCUAUCAUGGAACUAUUACUAUUUAUUAAACAUUGCCUACCACUGCCCGGACGUGACAACAUGGCGAUCGCUCGUAUGAAUAAGUAUGAACAACAUGUUGCCUGGAACUGCUUUACUAUGACUGCAACUUUGACUGCAAAGUUCAACUUUUGUACGAUUGGCUUGCCAUGUCCACAUUUUUACCCACAGUAAAAUUAUGAGCAUUUUCAAGUAUGUUGCACACUUACAUCGUGAGUCUGACCAUUUAUUUCUUUAAAUGUAAAAUAGCAGUUUCUUCUUGGAGACUUUUAUCUGGUAAUGU
rnacentral:lncRNA from 1 species